rnacentral:tRNA from 1 species
GGUGAGGUGCGAGAGCGGUUGAUUCGGCCUGUCUUGAAAACAGGUAGGCCCGCAAGGGUCUCGUGGGUUCGAAUCCCACCCUCACCG